AGCGAACGCUGGCGGCAGGCUUAACACAUGCAAGUCGAACGCCCCGCAAGGGGAGUGGCAGACGGGUGAGUAACACGUGGGAACGUACCCUUUGGUUCGGAAUAACUUGGGGAAACUCAAGCUAAUACCGGAUAAGCCAUUAUGGGGAAAGGUUUACUGCCGAAGGAUCGGCCCGCGUCUGAUUAGCUAGUUGGUGAGGUAAUGGCUCACCAAGGCGACGAUCAGUAGCCGGUCUGAGAGGAUGAUCAGCCACACUGGGACUGGGACACGGCCCAGACUCCUGCGGGAGGCAGCAGUGGGGAAUAUUGGACAAUGGGGGCAACCCUGAUCCAGCCAUGCCGCGUGAGUGAUGAAGGCCUUAGGGUUGUAAAGCUCUUUUACCCGGGACGAUAAUGACUGUACCGGGAGAAUAAGCCCCGGCUAACUUCGUGCCAGCAGCCGCAGUAA
rnacentral:rRNA from 1 species